GGAGAAAGAGAUCUGGCCUGCCUACUUCCCGUAAAAAGCAUUCAUAGUGCAAGCCUUUUUAGAAACCUUCAAGCAAGCAGUAUUGCUGAAGGUAAGUUCUGUGAUCUGGAGAAUUUACUGUGAAUCCUACAAUAGAUCUGGAUGGUGCUCGCUUUGGCAGCACACUUACUAGAAUAGAUCUGGAUGAAGACUGGUCACCGUGCUCCUCUAAAAUUAAACUACGAAUUAGAAGACACUAGAAUAUUACUCUGGCUCAUGUGUGGUAAAUGCAUUCUAAGAGGGCAGGAGUGAAAACAAGAAGACCUGUUAGAUCAUGACUACACUACAACAAGUAAAAUCUGAUGGCUAUGGAGCUAUGAGAAAUGACUGGAUUCUACAUGUUUUUGAAGGCACCUGGUAGAGUUCAACUUUCUGGCUCCCUGAAGCUUGCACAGGACCCUGAACUAGUUCUGGCCUUGACCUAUGUAACAAAGAAUUUGGUUUUCACUAUUCAACCAAUGUGAAAAUGACUGCCAACCUUCUACAUGAUCCACAGUCUUAGUCUGUGAUUCUUUUUUGAUGAGAACAGAUCCUUGUGUUUGUACUUGUCUUCGUUUGUUUUUUUUUUCUGUCUCAAGUUACUUCUCUGUUUUUAAGCACAUAAAAUGUAUUUCAACACUUAACAACACAAGAAGUGUAAUCAAGAGCUACAAAAACGUUCCAGCUAAGUUUGCCUUUUGAAGUGAUAACCAAGUAUUGCUACACAGGCAGACCCCCAUGGUAGCUUAAUAGUAUGUUAUAAAAACCCUUUUCAACACUAA